GAUAAAGCUUUGAAAAGAAGAGUACAUGUCAUAGACGUUUGAAGAGAGCCCUGUCUGCUGAAAAUGGGUAACGAACAUGAGAUGGAAGAUGGUCUUAGAGCAGAGUAAGUGAGCCAUGGCAAACUUACUACGGGAGUGCCCGUUAAAGCACAGCGGUAUACGGAACUGUUUUUGAAGAAUUCUAUCCAAGUACUGUUUAAGGUUGUUAUUGUGAAAUAGCAGCGAAUCAAGGUGGUAACACGGAAGUUUAAGCUUUCGUCCUUUUG
rnacentral:ncRNA from 1 species